AUUGAACGCUGGCGGCAUGCCUUACACAUGCAAGUCGAACGGUAACGGGCCUUAGGGUGCCGACGAGUGGCGAACGGGUGAGUAAUGUAUCGGAACGUACCUUUCAGUGGGGGAUAACGUAGCGAAAGUUACGCUAAUACCGCAUAUUCUGUGAGCAGGAAAGCAGGGGAUCGCAAGACCUUGUGCCGAUUGAGCGGCCGAUAUCAGAUUAGCUAGUUGGUGAGGUAAAGGCUCACCAAGGCGACGAUCUGUAGCGGGUCUGAGAGUAUGAUCCGCCACACUGGAACUGAGACACGGUCCAGACUCCUACGGGAGGCAGCAGUGGGGAAUUUUGGACAAUGGGGGCAACCCUGAUCCAGCCAUGCCGCGUGAGUGAAGAAGGCCUUCGGGUUGUAAAGCUCUUUCGGCCGGGAAGAAAUCGUAUCAGCUAAUACCUGGUGCGGAUGACGGUACCGGCAUAAGAAGCACCGGCUAACUACGUGCCAGCCGCCGCAGUAAGAC
rnacentral:rRNA from 1 species